ensembl:lncRNA
CUGGUCUGGUUUGAGGGGGAUCAGUAUGCUGUCGGACUCACAUCUAUCCAAGUGAAGCAUUUUGACCGAUUUCAAGUCUUCACCUCAAGCACAGGAGCCCUACACCAAACGAAUGCUGGAGAGGUUAUCCAGGUAUUUUGUUUUUGUUCUCAUCCCUCUGCUAUAUGUGAUUAUUAUGUGCAUAAUAGCGUUUAAAAGGUAAAACUCACGGCCAUCAUGUCAUGUAAUGUAGCAUGUUCCAGUGCCAAAUGAACAGGGAGGCCUGCACUCUCUACUUCAAAGCAAAGCAGCAGUGUUAAGUUACCUGAGGAACACAGGAUCAUUUCAAGUCCAGGAGACUGCUUGUCAAAGUUUGUGUCAGUCACUUGGAGAAGGGUGAAUUGUAAGUAUAUAAAUUCAAAAACAUAUUCGACCACUCUGAAUUUUACUCAGUGGUGUUUGCCCUGUCAGAUAAGUGUUUUAAUAUUGUACAUGCUCUGUUUUCAGUUAACUUUAUCCAUCAAGUGCUGAAAAGCUUGUUUUUGUCACUACUUUCACAUCUUUGCCGGGUCGGAUUAAAGGAAAAGGAGAUGGAUUUGUAAGUAAUAUGUAAUUAAUGUCAAAAACAGCCAAAUGUGUUUUUUUUUGUUUUGCACACUGGGUAGGAACAUUAAUAUCGCAAGCUAUUUAUUCUACUUUUCGAAACCAUGCUUAAGGAAGAUUUAAAAGAACAUUACCUCCUCACACUUAGUCCAGUUAAAGAACAUCCUGUAAUUCCUAUCUGUUCUCUUACCCGAAUUUUGCUCAGCUUUCGCUGAAUCUUCUGUUGGACUUUAUCAGCCCAGUAUUUCUCAUGGAGGAAGUCCCAAAAGAUCCGACCAAUUAGUGCAUUCAGCCAGUCAGGUUUUGUUUCAUCCUCAUGACAACAAAAGGUCUGUUCCAAAAGGGGUGAUGGAAGAAAAACUUUGGAGUAAUGAAGAUACAUUGUCAUUUUCUGCAAUGGGGGGGUAAGCUGUGUCACUUAAAUUGUCCUCUAAACAAGGAGAAAUGUAAACAUUUUGGUUGUUGCAUUCCUUGACUGUUGUCAGUUG